rnacentral:rRNA from 1 species
GUGGAGCAUGUGGCUUAAUUUGACUCAACGCGGGGAAUCUUACUAGGUCCGGACCGAUUCUAUGAUCGUCGUACUGUGGGGUGCUACGUGAUUACUGGAUGAGUGGUGCAUGGCCGUUCUUAGUUCGUGGUGUUAAUUGUCUACUUAAUUGUCAUCAGUUUAAUACAUGUAUUGAACUAUGAACGAACGAGAUCGAGACCCGUGGUUGCGUAUGUUUGAAUUCGGUAUUACUACGGGGAUCGCGUAUUACUCCACGGUACGAUCGAAAGACUCGGCAAUAACAGGUCUGUGAUGCCCUCAGAUGUUCUAGGCUGCACACGUGCUACAGUGUGGCGCCGUAUCGUGUGUGUAUGCAGAGAACUGAUAAGAUCCCCCGCACCGAGUCAUAACUGGUCACACGGUUGGACUCACCGAUUGUCAAUUAUUCGGUAUACUAA